GUGGUGGCUGAUGCCUGUAAUCUCAGCGCUUUGGGAGGCAAAGAUGGGUGGCUCGCUUGAGGUCAGGCUUUCGAGACCAGCCUGGUCAAUGUGGCAAAACUCCAUCUCUACUAAAAAU